GUGGUAAAUUGGAGAUAAGAGUCUCACAAACUUUUCUGCCCAGGCUCGCUUUUAACUGUGAUCUUCAGAUCUCAGCUUCCCACAUAGCUAGGAUUACAGACAUGAGCCACAAAGCCCAGCUUUAGAAAGCCUUUUUGAAAGAAAACAUGGUAGUGUAACUCUUAUUACUUCCCCAAGAAUAUGUCUUCCACACUGCUCAUUUGAGGCUCUGCCUGAUUAUCUCUAUCAUUUUUCUAACAAAUAUUUUUUGGCUCUGGCACGGUGCUGAGUCCCAACAAUGCAGCUGAGAACACCACAGAUGAAGUCUCUUCUCCCCAGAAUUCGCAUUCCAGAAAGAGAAACCAACUUAAAAUUGAAACAGGUAAAGCAGGUCCUCAGAGAUUGUGAAAUGUGUUUGGAUGGAAAUGAACAGUGUUGUCCUAGGAUAGAUAAUGACUGGAAGAGGAAAUUCACUUAAGUAUAUGUGCUCCAAAGUCUGCUUUAAGGAUAGAGAAAAAGCCCUAUACAUAAGAAAGCAAAAUACAUAAGCGAACUAAGCAAGUUUGAUUGGACUCAUCAUGCUGAUCCAAGAUCCUGUGGAAAUUCUGAUAAUCACUCUGAAGACAAAGGUGACAGGUGGACAAAAUCAAUAAGAAUUGGUAUUUAAUAAGCCUAUAGUAUAUGGUCAAAUACUGUGUAUAACACAUCUUACAUGGUCCCAUAGAAGAGGCAGAUAGCAUCUUCCUCCUUUUUACAAAUAAAGAUACUAAAGUACAGAACAG